GGAUCCAGACUUUGAUUAUGGCUCCGGAUGAACGCUAGCUACAGGCUUAACACAUGCAAGUCGAGGGGAAACGACAUCGAAAGCUUGCCUUUGAUGGGCGUCGACCGGCGCACGGGUGAGUAACGCGUAUCCAACCUGCCCAUCACUUGGGAAUAACCUUGCGAAAGUAAGACUAAUACCCAAUGACAUCCACGAAGGCAUCCGAAUGGGAUUAAAGAUUUAUCGGUGAUGGAUGGGGAUGCGUCUGAUUAGCUUGUUGGCGGGGUAACGGCCCACCAAGGCAACGAUCAGUAGGGGUUCUGAGAGGAAGGUCCCCCACAUUGGAACUGAGACACGGUCCAAACUCCUACGGGAGGCAGCAGUGAGGAAUAUUGGUCAAUGGACGAGAGUCUGAACCAGCCAAGUAGCGUGCAGGAUGACGGCCCUAUGGGUUGUAAACUGCUUUUAUAAGGGAAUAAAGUGGGUCACGUGUGACUUUUUGCAUGUACCUUAUGAAUAAGGACCGGCUAAUUCCGUGCCAGCAGCCGCGGUAAUACGGAAGGUCCGGGCGUUAUCCGGAUUUAUUGGGUUUAAAGGGAGCGUAGGCCGGAGAUUAAGCGUGUUGUGAAAUGUAGAGGCUCAACCUCUGCACUGCAGCGCGAACUGGUCUUCUUGAGUACGCACAACGUGGGCGGAAUUCGUGGUGUAGCGGUGAAAUGCUUAGAUAUCACGAAGAACUCCGAUUGCGAAGGCAGCUCACGGGAGCGCAACUGACGCUGAAGCUCGAAAGUGCGGGUAUCGAACAGGAUUAGAUACCCUGGUAGUCCGCACGGUAAACGAUGGAUGCCCGCUGUUGGCCUGAAUAGGUCAGCGGCCAAGCGAAAGCAUUAAGCAUCCCACCUGGGGAGUACGCCGGCAACGGUGCAACUAAAGGGAAUUGACGG
rnacentral:rRNA from 1 species